ACAUAUCAGGGAGUAUCACCAAAAAAAAUAGUUGGUGCUGAGUGCUGACGACAGAGCCUUCUGUUCACAGGGCUCCUGCAGUUUCUUUGUUACACUUACAGAAUUUUUCUGUUGUGAGAACAGAACUUCAGCCCGCUGGUCGGAGGUGAGGAGGAACACGGGGAGGCUAAACAUGUUUAGUCAUAGAAGUGGGGAGGGGGGCAGCGAAAACUCGCCCCCCCCCCCGGGGAGCCUACGCCUACCAGUUUUGGGCACGGUCCAUUCCGCACGCGCUGCACCGUACCAUCGUCUAUCCAUGCGCCAGACAUGUUCCUUCCUCCCACCACAUUAUGGCGCACGCUGGGCCCCCCUUGGAGGAAGGGGGGCGCAUGGGCCCAACGGACUGGACCUCAGCAGCUGCGGCUUAUCGGACAGACCGACUGCGCUCUUCCUGACGUUCGCACUCAACAUUUCUCAGGUAAGUCGUACUUAGCCGAAAUUUUCCCUCGUGAAACCUGACCCCUUUUUUUACACAGAGAGAGGGAAUGGGGUGAAGGGGAUGAAAUGUUAUAGAUGGUAAAUAAAGCUAAUGGGAAAUUUAUAAAAUUGAAAAGGGUAUUUCAGGCGUAAAAAUAAAGAUAGGUUUUUUUUGUUUUUUUUUUUUUGUUUACUAUCUAUAUAUUUACCAACAUAUUAGAGUGCAUGUUCCUUUGGUUUAAUUUUCUGGUUUUUUUUCUUCUUUAUCACAAAUUAUCCUGUUCAAGAAAAUUUUACCAACAAAACAGGGGAAAUGAAUGAUCCUCUUCCAUCUAAGGGAUAUCCGACCGGAUGACAUGUUUUGGAUUAGUUUUUAAAAAUUGGAAAAUCAGAAGUAAAGCCCGGUUCUCUCAAUCGUCUUGAUAAAGAACCUUUUUUCAGAUUUUACAUAUAUUAUUAUUGGAAGGUCUUCCAAAGGUAGCUUGACGUCCCCCUCCCCUCUGCCACGCUUGGCGCAUAUUCAGCAUUGUUUUUUCCUUAGCACAUUUUUUAAUGUUGUAAAAGUGCGUGAUAGUUGCCGAUUGCUAGAUUAUUCAAAGAAGAGGGAAAAAAUCAAUGCUCCCUAUACACGUGAUGCUAAAUUUUGUUGGAUUUUACGCUGAAAUUUUUUAAAAGGGCCCCUUCAGAGGAGUGCUGAUGGGACAAAAAUCACUGAAUUCGCAGAAGUGUGAUGCUUCACCCCCCCCCCCCCCCCCCCAGACGCAUCAAGACCGAUAGAAUGAUCUAAAAUGUUGAAAAUGUUUUGCACUUAUUCGUUCUCUUUCUUUCUGACCUAACUGUAUUAUAUGCAAUCUUAAUUUUCGGGGUUUUUUCGUUUACGUGCAACGUAAUGCAUAAUAUGCACAGACUGCAAAAUUCUCAUUUAGUUUAGACGCGUUGUAUUCAUAAAGAGUUUUACUUUGAAUUAAAAUAGGGUUUAACUUAGUCGAAAGAUACAAUCUUGUGUAGACUGAAAACGAGACUCUAGGUUUUCUUUAAUAUAUAUUUAAAAUAAAAAAUAAUAACAUUACUACGAACAACAAUAAAACAUUUUAAAAUUGUAAGAUUUAAG
rnacentral:lncRNA from 1 species